AGCGAACGCUGGCGGCAGGCCUAAUACAUGCAAGUCGAACGGCUCUUCGGAGCAGUGGCGGACGGGUGAGUAACGCGUGGGAAUGUGCCCUUUGGUACGGAACAACACAGGGAAACUUGUGCUAAUACCGAAUGUGCCCUUCGGGGGAAAGAUUUAUCGCCUUUAGAGCGGCCCGCGUCUGAUUAGCUAGUUGGUGAGGUAAUGGCUCACCAAGGCUACGAUCAGUAGCUGGUCUGAGAGGAUGACCAGCCACAUUGGGACUGAGACACGGCCCAAACUCCUACGGGAGGCAGCAGUGGGGAAUCUUGCGCAAUGGGCGAAAGCCUGACGCAGCCAUGCCGCGUGGAUGAUGAAGGUCUUAGGAUUGUAAAAUCCUUUCACCGGUGAAGAUAAUGACUGUAGCCGGGGAAGAAGCCCCGGCUAACUUCGUGCCAGCCGCCGCAGUAAAAC
rnacentral:rRNA from 1 species